GCUAUGGCUAUGUGGCAGAGCAUCAACUUUGCAUGUAGAAGGUCCCAAGUUCAAUCCCUGGGAUCUACA
rnacentral:tRNA from 1 species